UGAUUCCAUUGCUACAGCCCUAAAAGAACGUCUUGGAACUAUUCUUCCUGAGGAUCAAAAAGCUAAACUAAUCUGUCAGGCAUAUGAUGGAGCCAGCGUGAUGCGAGGUGCCACUGCAGGUGUUCAGAAGAAGAUACAAGAUGUGUACCCAAAUGCCCACUACAUCCACUGCUAUGCUCAUCAGCUCAAUCUAAUAAUGCAACAGGCUACUUCUCGCAUAACCAAAGUUAGAAUUUUUUUUUCUAACCUUAGUGGAUUUUCCAGCUUUUUCUCCAGAUCAUCCAAGCGCACAAGCGUUCUUGAUAAAGUUGUGGCCCACAGACUACCAGCAUCCAGCAAUGUCAGAUGGAACUUUCACAGCCGUGCCAUCAAUACUGUGUUUGAGCACAGAGAGGACCUCAUCCGCUGUUUCGAAAGCAUACAAGACUCUGGUGACUUUGACCCCAUUACCGUCAGAGAGGCUGGAGCAUUUGCCAUGCUACUGGAGGAUCAGGAUUUUAAGUUCUUUCUGCAACUUUUCCACCAUAUUAUGCCUCAUGUGGACCUUCUCUAUGCCAAACUCCAGAAGAAGGUCAUAGAUUCAGUCUGUAUCUAGGAGAGCAUCCAACAGUUCCAGCAGGACAUUCAAAAGAUCAGAAAUUCUCUCCACUCCGUGGUUGGACAAAGCAGUAGUCAGCCAGCGAAGAAGCGUCGGACACUCAGUGUAGAAGACCAUGAAAGGAUUGCUGCAGAGGUCUGUGAUAUCAUACUGGAACACACCAGGGAGCGCUUUUCUUUCACAAACCACCUUGUUAGUGCCACACUCCUGCAGGGGGACAAAUUUGAACAAUACAACACAGCAUUUCCUGAAGAUGCACUGAGCAACACCUUAAAAGCCUAUCCAGUGCUCAAUCGAGGUAAGCUGAAGACAGAGCUUACUCUCAUCUACAGCAAGGAAGAGUUCCAAGCCUGUUGUGGUGCUGUGGGCCUACUCCAGCUGUUUAUGGAAAACAAUCUAGAAGAAGUCUUUUCAGAAACUGUCAAGCUCUUGAAGAUCCUCAU